rnacentral:rRNA from 1 species
UACGGGGGGUGCAAGCGUUGUCCGGAAUCACUGGGCGUAAAGGGCGCGUAGGUGGUUUGAUAAGGGUGUGGUGAAAGCCCGGGGCUCAACCCCGGGUCUGCCGUGCCGACUGUCAAACUCGAGGGCUGUAGAGGCAGACGGAAUUCCGGGUGUAGCGGUGGAAUGCGUAGAGAUCCGGAGGAAGACCGGUGGCGAAGGCGGUCUGCUGGGCAGUUUCUGACACUGAGGCGCGACAGCGUGGGGAGCAAACAGG